UACGGAGGGUGCAAGCGUUAUCCGGAAUUAUUGGGCGUAAAGGGUGUGUAGGUGGCGUUGUUAGUCGUUUGUGAAAGAUCCGGGCUCAACCUGGAAAACGCGAACGAAACGGCAAUGCUUGAGUAUAUGAGAGGUAAGCAGAACUCAUGGUGUAGGGGUGAAAUCCGUUGAUAUCAUGGGGAAUACCAAAAGCGAAGGCAGCUUACUGGCAUAUCACUGACACUGAAACACGAAAGCGUGGGUAGCGAAUGGG
rnacentral:rRNA from 1 species